rnacentral:rRNA from 1 species
CCAAUAGCGUAUAUUAAAGUUGUUGCAGUUAAAAAGCUCGUAGUUGAACUUCGGGAUUCGUCCAUUGGUCAGGCUUAACUGUCUGUACUGGUGUGUCGGAUUUCUACCUUCUGAAGAACCUUCAUGCCAUUAAUUUGGUGUGUUGGGGAAUCAGGACUGUUACUUUGAAAAAAUUAGAGUGUUUAAAGCAGGCUUACGUCUGAAUACAUUAGCAUGGAAUAAUGAAAUAGGACGGUACGGUUCUAUUUUGUUGGUUUCUAGGAUCGCCGUAAUGAUUAAUAGGGAUAGUUGGGGGCAUUAGUAUUCAAUUGUCAGAGGUGAAAUUCUUGGAUUUAUUGAAGACUAACUACUGCGAAAGCAUUUGCCAAGGAUGUUUUCAUUAAUCAAGAACGAAAGUUAGGGGAUCGAAGACGAUCAGAUACCGUCGUAGUCUUAACCAUAAACUAUGCCGACUAGGGAUCGGACGAUGUUAAUUUUUUAAUGACUCGUUCGGCACCUUACG